UCUUUACAACUUGCUUUUAUCUUGCCAGAAUAAGAAACUUAAAAAUGUGUUUUUGUUAUAGCUAAAGACCAUGUUUUAGCUGGUAUCUUCCACAAGGAGAGAACAACCUGCAACCUCCUGGAUUCUCUCUUUAGCUUUGUGCUCCUGAGGCAAAAAGUGACACUGGCCCCACUUUGAUCUACAGACAUGAUAUCAUCUACAGGGUGCACCCAGCGCCAAACUGCUGCAUUCUUUUGACCAAAACAGUGGUUUUGUGCAGCCUUACAGAUGCAGGCUGAAUAGCUUCAGAGUUGGCCUGUGUCUUCACAAACAGGGCCCGGCUCAAGAUUAAUUUCCUCCAAGACUCCCUCUUUCACGAAUUUACCUCACUCAGCCAUUCCCUUCCACCGCAUCUGCUGAUUACUCAUCUGAUGCUCUUUGUUCUGCUCUGCCAUGCACUGUUAUGUUUUACCUCGUGAUCAUUCUCUAGAUUUUUACUUUAUCCUUCAGCUAAAUUAAAACUGCCUUGAAAGUAGGGCCUGUCUACUUCUUUUGUGUACUUCUAUAGCACAUAAGUAUAGUGCAAUAGGUACAUAGCUUCUUCAUAAAAGAGGAAUGCUUUGUGGUUAUUGUCUUGGGGCUGGGAUCCUGCCUUUGCUUUCUGUGCCUGAAAACCAGACUCGCCGCUUCCACACCAUGGGAUGUCCCCAGUCUGCUCUGGUGUUGGCGUGCUGCCCUGCUAUAUUCUUCUCUGCUCUGACCCCAGAAAUCGGUCACAAGUUUCUCUCCUAACAUCCCAUGGAUUUGAUUUUCCCAAAGGUUAGAUUUUCCAUAAUCAAGAUAGUAAGGGUAGGGAGGCACAGAA